rnacentral:rRNA from 1 species
GACGAACGCUGGCGGCGUGCCUAAUACAUGCAAGUCGAACGCAGUGGCGACGGGUGAGUAACACGUGGGUAACCUCCCAUCAGAGGGGAGAACACUUGGAAACAGGCGCUAAACCGCUACUGAUUGAUGGACCCGCGGUGCAUUAGCUAGGUGGUGAGGUAACGGCCCACCAAGGCCACGAUGCAUAGCCGACCUGAGAGGGUGAUCGGCCAGACUGGGACUGAGGCCCGGCCCAGACUCCUACGUGAGGCAGCAGUAGGGAAUCUUCGGCAAUGGACGAAAGGCUGACCGAGCAACGCCGCGUGAGUGAAGAAGGUGUGCGGAUCGUAAAACUCUGUUGGUAGAGAAGCGGUAUCUAACCAGAAAGCCACGGCUAACUCCGUGCCAGCAGCCGCGGUAAUAC